rnacentral:rRNA from 1 species
GAUGAACGCUGGCGGCGUGCCUAAUACAUGCAAGUCGAGCGAACAGACGAGGAGCUUGCUCCUCUGACGUUAGCGGCGGACGGGUGAGUAACACGUGGAUAACCUACCUAUAAGACUGGGAUAACUUCGGGAAACCGGAGCUAAUACCGGAUAAUAUAUUGAACCGCAUGGUUCAAUAGUGAAAGACGGUUUUGCUGUCACUUAUAGAUGGAUCCGCGCCGCAUUAGCUAGUUGGUAAGGUAACGGCUUACCAAGGCAUUGAUGCGUAGCCGACCUGAGAGGGUGAUCGGCCACACUGGAACUGAGACACGGUCCAGACUCCUACGGGAGGCAGCAGUAGGGAAUCUUCCGCAAUGGGCGAAAGCCUGACGGAGCAACGCCGCGUGAGUGAUGAAGGUCUUCGGAUCGUAAAACUCUGUUAUUAGGGAAGAACAAAUGUGUAAGUAACUAUGCACGUCUUGACGGUACCUAAUCAGAAAGCCACGGCUAACUACGUG